rnacentral:rRNA from 1 species
CGAACGCUGGCGGCGUGCCUAAUACAUGCACGUAGAACGCUGAAGGAGGAGCUUGCUUCUCUGGAUGAGUUGCGAACGGGUGAGUAACGCGUAGGUAACCUGCCUGGUAGCGGGGGAUAACUAUUGGAAACGAUAGCUAAUACCGCAUAAUAGCAGUUAUUGCAUGAUAACUGUUUGAAAGGUGCAAUUGCACCACUACCAGAUGGACCUGCGUUGUAUUAGCUAGUUGGUGGGGUAACGGCUCACCAAGGCGACGAUACAUAGCCGACCUGAGAGGGUGAUGGGCCACCCGGGGACUGAGAACGGGCCCAGACUCCUAGGGGGGGCAGGAGGGGGGAAUCUUGGGAAAGGGAGGGAAGUUUGCCCGGGGAACGCCGGGGGGUGGAAAAAGGUUUUCGGAUCGAAAAGCCUUGUUGGAAGGGAAAAAGGGGUGGGAGGGGGGAAAGUUCACACUGGGAGGGUAUUUUACCAAAAAGGGACGGCUAACUACGU